rnacentral:RNase_P_RNA from 1 species
UCUGAAGGAGGGUUUGCACCACGACGCAUGUGAGAAAUUCGGAGUACUCUUCACCACACCACCGCAGUCACUUGCACGCAGAGAUGCGAGCGGGAGGACGGGUCUGCCCGCGAGGGUUCGGCGUCACUGAACGCCAGCAAGUUGGCAUCAGAAAUAGCAGGGCCCCUUCCCCCUCCACAGAGAUGUGCGAGGGCGCGUGGGGGGGUACCCUAUGGGAAGCCAUUGCGAAGAUUGUGUGUUAUCACUUGAGUGCGAUGCGUGGCGUGGCGGAAGCCAUGAUUCGAUUCCGAUUACUCUGUCCAGA